AAACCUUUCUGUGAUUCUAUCAUUCUUCACUUUUCAGCAACUACCACCAUUGGGGAGAGAGGAAUGUUUCUGCAAGAAGCUCAGGCAACACAGCAGGGGCUGUAAUGUGGUUGGAGUGGAGCUUAAAUCCAAAGAAGUCAAGAGGAGGAAGGGACCAGGUAAAGGUAUGCAGUUGAGGCAGUCACCGGGAAGACUUGAGAAACUACUGAUUCAGCACCAUAAUGUUUAGAUAACACUCAGAGCAUCCUGAAAAUUAGGCCUCUUUAAAGUGUUCCUAGAUGUGCAACCAGGAGGAAGAGGCACACAAA
rnacentral:lncRNA from 1 species